rnacentral:lncRNA from 1 species
AAAGAAUAACUUAUUGGAUCCAUUGGGUUGGGACCUCGCAGUAUCUAAACUUACAGGGGACAUCCGUCCCUUAAAAGGUCAAACUGUACUUUGGGCUUGUCAAUUCUAACUUUUCUUUUAUUUACGACUGUUGCCAUUCUAAACUUGAUGCACUUUUGCACAGUGUUUUUAUUCUUCCAUAUUAUUCAGACUUCCAUAGAUUUAUGGAUCCAAC